GGUACUUUUGGUUCCCCAUAUCUACAGAUGAGAAGACUGAGGCAGCAAGAGAUUGAUUUGUCCAGAGCCAUACAGUGAUGGAGUGGUGAUCAGAACCAAGCAACUCUGGAUCCCAAGGCUUUUAUCUUCCAUGUACAAGAGUGCAGCAUAUGUGACAGGAACUGUACUAAAUGUUGGCUAUACAAUAGCAAGAAGGAUACCUUCUAUCCAGGAGUUAAUGGUCAGAGACCGACAAAUGGCUGAAAGCAGUAAGAGAGUCACACCCAGAUGAUGGAAACAGAUAAGACACGGGGCUUUAAAGAUGAUUACUCCACUGUUUCCUAGUUUCUACAACUGGUCAGCCUAACUGCUAUUUCUUUUCAGGCCCAGAUGCACAGAUAAACAACCCCAUGAAAAGUGAUGCUUCAAUCCUUGUCUUUCUCUCCAAGGACUAGUAAAAGCUACCGAGUAAGGUGAGUUGAUUCUCCAGAUACUGCGCAGCCUCCAUCAGAAGCUCCUCUCGGUUGUCGAGGGAUGACUCCGCCUCACACCGAAGCCUGGCCCAUUGUCGGAAGUCGUCUUCACUUAUGACCUACAGAACAGGAAAAGAAGAAGCAAUGAGAAAGAAUGAAAUCUGGCCAUUUGUAGGAAAGUGGAUGGACCUC